rnacentral:rRNA from 1 species
AAUAUUGCACAAUGGGCGCAAGCCUGAUGCAGCGACGCCGCGUGAGGGAUGACGGCCUUCGGGUUGUAAACCUCUUUCACCAGGGACGAAGCGCAAGUGACGGUACCUGGAGAAGAAGCACCGGCCAACUACGUGCCAGCAGCCGCGGUAAUACGUAGGGUGCGAGCGUUGUCCGGAAUUACUGGGCGUAAAGAGCUCGUAGGCGGUUUGUCGCGUCGUCUGUGAAAUUCUGCAACUCAAUUGUAGGCGUGCAGGCGAUACGGGCAGACUUGAGUACUACAGGGGAGACUGGAAUUCCUGGUGUAGCGGUGAAAUGCGCAGAUAUCAGGAGGAACACCGGUGGCGAAGGCGGGUCUCUGGGUAGUAACUGACGCUGAGGAGCGAAAGCGUGGGUAGCGAACAGGAUUAGAUACCCUGGUAGUCCACGCCGUAAACGGUGGGUACUAGGUGUGGGGCUCAUUUCACGAGUUCCGUGCCGUAGCUAACGCAUUAAGUACCCCGCCUGGGGAGUACGGCCGCAAGGCUAAAACUCAAAGGAAUUGACGGGGG